UACGUAGGGGGCAAGCGUUGUCCGGAAUUAUUGGGCGUAAAGAGCGUGUAGGCGGUCCGGUAAGUCAGCUGUGAAAGUCAAGGGCUCAACCCUUGAAUGCCGGUUGAUACUGUCGGGCUAGAGUCCGGAAGAGGCGAGUGGAAUUCCCGGUGUAGCGGUGAAAUGCGCAGAUAUCGGGAGGAACACCAAUGGCGAAGGCAGCUCGCUGGGACGGUACUGACGCUGAGACGCGAAAGCGUGGGGAGCGAUCCGG
rnacentral:rRNA from 1 species